rnacentral:rRNA from 1 species
UAAUACGGAGGGUGCAAGCGUUGUCCGGAUUUAUUGGGUUUAAAGGGUGCGUAGGUGGCUUUAUAAGUCAGCGGUGAAAGACGGCAGCUCAACUGUCGCAGUGCCGUUGAUACUGUAGAGCUUGAGUACUGAUGAGGUAGGCGGAAUUGAUAGUGUAGCGGUGAAAUGCAUAGAUAUUAUCAAGAACACCGAUUGCGAAGGCAGCUUACUAAGGAGUUACUGACACUGAGGCACGAAAGCGUGGGGAUCAAACAGGAUUAGAUACCCUGGUAGUCCACGCCAUAAACGAUGAUCACUCGCUGUGUGCGAUAGAUAGUACGCGGCCAAGCGAAAGCGUUAAGUGAUCCACCUGGGGAGUACGACCGCAAGGUU